rnacentral:rRNA from 1 species
UACGAAGGGGGCUAGCGUUGUUCGGAAUUACUGGGCGUAAAGCGUGCGCUAGGCGGUUGUGCAAGGACCGAUCGUGAAAUCCCCGGGCUUAACCUGGGAAUGGCAUUGGUGACGUGCGACGGCUAGGAGUGUGUCAGAGGGGGGUAGAAUUCCAACGUGUAGCAGUAGAAAUGCGUAGAGGAUGUGGAGGAAUACCGAUGGCGAAGGCAGACCCCCUGG